CGCAUUUCCACCCAUCACCAUUAUCUCUUCUUUUGGCCUUUGUUGGGUUUUAUCUCAAAUUCUUAUGAGUUCGUCUCAAAAUUACUUGCUGUUUUGUUUUUUAAUUGUUGAACAAGAAUGAGUAUUCCCAGAAAGAUUAAACUUGUUGAACAACUAAGGAUAUUCCUUUUAUAAGUAGAGAGUUCGUCUGGGGAGAUUUUGGUCUUUG
rnacentral:misc_RNA from 1 species